GUCUGCUACUAAAUUACACAGUACACAUCACAAUUCACAAGUUACUUCAAAAAAUCAAACAAGAUAAAUUCAGAUUCGGAUAUUGAGAAAUCAAAUGGUACAAUCCAGUAAUGAAAGCUUUGUCUUCCAAAGGUUAACUUUUUGCUGUCACAUUGUAGUACAUCUCCAAGAUAUUGCUGCAUUCCCCAGAUCCAAUUCUUUGCUGUUAUCUAUUUGGACAAUUGGAAGACAAUGCCACCAUUCAAGAGGUUGUGGUGACCACCAUUUGAGUACUAAUUUACGACAACCUGAGAUUGAUUAAAUUUACAGAUAAUAAUACAAUUAAUAUUACAGAAAUCUUAGAAAAAUUACCAACCUAUUUAGUUAAGUGGUGAUAAAUAUACCCUCUAAUUACAAGUCGGCCCAGAUGUUUAAACCCCCUUCCCACCAUCAAACCGUGAUAUUAUGUAUGUACACUCUCUGUAUUAUGUUUUUAAAAAUGUUUUUACCAUUAAGAAUUCUGUUACUGACUGACAGCACAUCUAGACACCUCCCCUCCCUGUGAUGGCAUAUGUAAACGGCCCCUCUGUCAAAUCAGCAUGUCACAAUCACUUUCCAUUCCAAUUAGACCUAAGACCAAGUAAAUUCUGGCGAGAAGACGCGAAAAAAAGCAACAAAACACAAAACAAAACUAACAGCUUUUUAAACUCAAACCACAUUCAUAGUAACAAAUAAAGAACACACUGAAGGAGUAUACUAGAAAUAAAAACAAUGGGAAAAUAACCACUGGCGUAAUUUCGAUUUUGUUCAAUAAGUACUCCUUAAACCAGGGGAGACGAUGGGCAACAGCAUCAGCACAUUAGAUUAAUAUAUCUGCAACUCGGUACACAACGGUACUGUAACACCGUUAGCAAUUUCAGCUUUGACUUCAAACAUCAACCAACAGCGGAAAGAACCUAUGAAACAAAUUAGAUAUAAAGCAACAU